rnacentral:rRNA from 1 species
CGGGAAACCGGAGCUAAUACCGGAUAAUAUAUUGAACCGCAUGGUUCAAUAGUGAAAGACGGUUUUGCUGUCACUUAUAGAUGGAUCCGCGCCGCAUUAGCUAGUUGGUAAGGUAACGGCUUACCAAGGCAACGAUGCGUAGCCGACCUAAGAGGGUGAUCGGCCACACUGGAACUGAGACACGGUCCAG